ACAGGCCAAAGUUUGCACUAUUAGCCUCCCGAUGUUUGAGAUUAUGAGACUCAGACUAGCUUCCUGACUACUCACCUUGCAGAUGGCCUAUUGUGAGACUUCAGAUUGUCAUCAUAUCUCACUAUGUUGCUCAGACUGGUCUUGAAUUCUGGCCUGAAGUGAUCCUCCCACCUCAGCCUCCUGAAUAGUUGGGACUGCGUUACAAGCCACCUGUCUAAAUAGUUACCUUUAAUUAAUGAUGUUUGUUAAAGUAACACAAAAAUCCUAGAAACAUUUGCCAGUUAAAACUUUCUGAUAAUUUGAAUGAAGUAAAGUUUGGAGUCUCUGUCUCAUUAAAAAUACUCAAGGUCAAUGUAAUAAAAACAGCAAAGCAGUAA